AUGAUCAUUUUCCCGGCCGCCGUGUACGACGCUGCGUGCAGAAAAUGGAAACGCUCCACCGUCGUCAUGAUCGGCGGUGGAAGAGUGGUUCAGAAGUUGUAUGGUGUAUGGGGUCCGCGUGUACCAACUCAGAACCUCACUUUACAAAGCUUCUUCAUUACCCUUCGUUCUUUAAUUCCUUUUUCUGCAUUAGGGUUUGCUCCGAAUUCCACUCAAUCUUCUUCCAAUCGAAUAUAUUCUUCCUUUUUCCCCAUCGAUCUGCCACCAUUCUUUUCAUCUCUCCAAGUGUGAAUCCAAAUGGGCAAAAGGAAAAAGAAACAUAAAGCCUUAGUUCGUUUUCUUUUUCCUUCCGUUUUCAAGAACCCUGAAUCUCUCCCGCAAUUUCAAUUCUCGUCAUGCUAGUUUUCCAAAUCAGACUAGGAGCGGAACCAGAAACUGAAGAUUGAAGAAGAGGAACCACACCAUAGGAUGGAAUCUGCUACCCUUAAUAGAAUAAUUAGCAGGUUGCUUGAAACCGGGAGCAAAUCGGGGAAGCAGGCGCCGCUUUCUGAGACGGAAAUUACUCAGUUAUGCAUGGUCUCCAGGAAUAUCUUCUUAAGGCAACCAAAUCUUUUGGAAAUUGAAGCUCCUGUCUAUAUCUGCGGAGACAUCCAUGGCCAGUAUACUGAUCUUCUAAGGCUUCUUGAAUAUGGUGGAUUACCCCCUCAUUCGAACUACUUGUUCUUGGGGGACUAUGUAGAUCGUGGAAAGCAGAGCUUAGAAACCAUGUGCCUUCUCCUUGCAUAUAAAAUAAAAUAUCCUGAAAACUUCUUUCUUUUGAGGGGCAACCAUGAAUGUGCAUCUGUCAACCGUAUCUACGGAUUUUACGACGAAUGUAAACGGAGAUUCAACGUUAAACUCUGGAAGAUAUUCACAGACUGUUUCAAUUGCUUGCCUAUGGCUGCUCUGAUUGAUGAAAGGAUACUCUGUAUGCAUGGUGGACUGUCUCCUCACCUAGACACGUUGGAUCAGAUUAGGAACUUAAAGCGGCCUACUGAUGUUCCCGACAAAGGAUUAGUUUGUGAUCUUCUCUGGUCUGAUCCAAGUCAAGAAACACGAGGCUGGGGACCGAAUGAACGAGGGGUUUCUUACACGUUUGGAGUGGAUCGAGUUAUAGAGUUUCUUCGAAAGCAUGAUCUUGAUUUGAUUUGUAGAGCUCACCAGGGGAGUGGAUCGAGUUAUAGAGUUUCUUCGAAAGCAUGAUCUUGAUUUGAUUUGUAGAGCUCACCAGGUCGUGGAGGACGGGUACGAGUUUUUCGCAAAUCGAAAACUUGUAACAAUAUUUUCUGCUCCAAAUUACUGUGGAGAGUUUGAUAAUGCUGGUGCAAUGAUGCGCGUGGAUGAAAAUUUAAUGUGUUCGUUCCAAAUACUAAAACCAGCCGAUAAGAAGUCGAGGUUUGGCUUCGGCAGCAUGUCGUUGGGACGGUAGGGCAGUUCACCUAAAGUCGAGUCGUUUCUGGGAGGAAUCGGAUGAAACUCAUACCAUGUUCUUACCGAACUGCGUCAUCUGAUACAGGUUUCUUCCUUGAUGUAACAAACAUUAUGCUUUGUGCUCAUUGACACUUUAGAGAGCAUGUUUAUGAAUCUCACGACAGUUCUUGAGUCGGCUUGGCCCAA